UGGGGAAUAUUGCACAAUGGGCGCAAGCCUGAUGCAGCAACGCCGCGUGAGGGAUGAAGGCCUUCGGGUUGUAAACCUCUUUUAGUAAGGAAGAAGCUUUAGGGUGACGGUACUUGCAGAAAAAGCACCGGCUAACUACGUGCCAGCAGCCGCGGUAAUACGUAGGGUGCAAGCGUUGUCCGGAAUUAUUGGGCGUAAAGAGCUCGUAGGCGGUUUGUCGCGUCUGCUGUGAAAUCCCGGGGCUCAACCCCGGGCCUGCAGUGGGUACGGGCAGACUAGAGUGCGGUAGGGGAGAUUGGAAUUCCUGGUGUAGCGGUGGAAUGCGCAGAUAUCAGGAGGAACACCAAUGGCGAAGGCAGAUCUCUGGGCCGUUACUGACGCUGAGGAGCGAAAGCAUGGGGAGCGAACAGG
rnacentral:rRNA from 2 species